rnacentral:rRNA from 1 species
GCUAAGUCGUAACAAGGUAGCCGUACCGGAAGGUGCGGCUGGAACACCUCCUUUCUGGAGCGAA